UAAAAUUUGCAUCCAGGA
rnacentral:miRNA from 1 species